CCUGCUCGUCUACACUUCCAAUGUCAAGGCGGCAUUUACCCGAAAUGCAGCGUGGAUGUCUUUGUAGUCCGUCAGCGUUCACGAAUAGACCAAAUUAUAACGACAAGAAAUUAUAUACCUGGGCACGAAUACAUAACAUGCAACCUGGACCUGUCGCUAAAUAUAACUAAGAUAUACUCCAAACUACAGAACGAGAGGCAUAAUGUGUUGCUAUGAAUGUUGACAGCAGCCUGUCACAGUUUGAAUGCUAUUAGACUGCUGAUGGACCAGGAAAUGAUACCAGAAUGGAAACAUGUAUUAUAAAAACAUC